rnacentral:lncRNA from 13 species
GUAUGAGUUUUUCCUUUUUCCACUUAAAAUUUUACCUAUCCUUUGAAACUGCCUCAUAUUCUCUGUCAUCCAUAGAAACUUUUCCGAUCCCAUCACCUUCCUCCUUUGAACAUUAUAAUAUAGUUUAUCUCCUUGAUAUCAUUUUCUGUAGUCCCACAGGACAGUUGAAGGGAAUAAUGAAAAUUACACGUGGAAGAUAUCUUUAUAGAGUAUCCGGCACAUGACAGGUGAUAAGUUAUAGUUAGUUCCAUUCAUUUUCCAUCCCAAGAGCACCUGCAGAGCUCUGUAAAUACUGCUCUACAUUUUCCAGUUUUGUAGAUCUGAAAAUGAGGACAGGAGUCUCAGAUGAUUCAUGUUUUUAUGGAUUUUCUUCUUUUCUGUGGCUUAGGAAUCCUUCUGGGACAACUUGCUCUUUGUGCUCUGGGUUCCAGUGCUGGACACACCUUUUCUGUAAAGCCACCAUGGGUUACUGACAGACCAAAAUAUCCUGACAACUCCCGAAUGCCGGAAGGAGAGAAUGGGUUUAUACAUCUGAGGACCUUGACUAUUCUACUCUUUCUCUGUCACCCAGACUGGAGUGCAGUGCCAGCCUACUCCUCCGCCCCCGACAUUCAAGUGAUCCUCCUGCCUCAGACCCCCGAGUAGCUGGGAUUAAGGCUCUUCUGGAACAUUAAGCUCUUCCCCCAUCAAGAGGUGGUGUCUGCGUCUGUUCUCCUUGAAUUUGUGUGGCUCUUCCUGACUGCUUCAACCAAGAGACUCCAGUAGGAAUGAUACUAUAUAAUUUCUGAGGCUAGAUCAUAAGAAUGCCAUGUACUUUAAUUUUAUUCUUUGAGGGUCGCUGGCUCCUGGAACCCAGCCACCAUACUGUGAUGAAGCCUACACAACUGUGGAGAGGCUCACAUGGAGAGGAAUCAGUGCCUACUGAUCUACAGCCCUGGCUGAGCUCUCAGCCAACAGUCACGAUCAACUUCCAGCCAUAUUGAACCAUCUUGAAAGAGGCUCCCCCAGCACCAAGUUAAGCAGUGUGAUUACGUUGCCAAAGAUCACCUCUUUCCUAUCAUCUUUCUUCUGAGACUUGUUUAGAGUAAACUUGGAAGCUGUGUUUUGCUCACUCUGAAGAUUGAAUAUAAGAAAAUUUGCUUAAGUUUGGAUGAUGCAGCUGCUGAAGUAAUCUGUGAUGCACUUUCCUUCAGGAAUCCUUAUCUAUUUGUUCAGGUGUUCCACAAGUCUUCUUAUCUUGGAAUCCAAGAAUACUCAUUGUGUGGUUGCUUAUUGUUUCCCAGACACCCUGAUGCUUUGAGGCUUUGUCUCAUGCUUUCAAGUAAUGUUCUCAUGUUCACCUGCUGAUAUUCCUUCAAGGGUGCAGGCUGUAUCUCUCCAAGUGUGGAAUCAAACAAUCAGAUAAGAUGUUGUGUAACAAUUCAUAUUAAAAACGUGAUCUUGUCAGUCAAGAAGAAGAGAUGAAAACAAACACCUUGAGAGUUCAUGAGUAGAAGUAUAUAGCCCUGCAUUUAUGAUAAUAUGGUGCAGUUUAUCCAUACACAGCAAUGUAACUGCUUAAAAUGCUCCUGAAAUUCAGGCAAAAUAAAUUAUAAAUAUUAUUAAGAUCA